AGACAGUUCGGUCCCUAUCUGGUGUGGGCGCAGGAGACUUGAAGGGAGCUGUCCCUAGUACGAGAGGACCGGGAUGGACAGACCUCUUGUGUACGAGCUGUCGCGCCAGCGGCACCGCUCGGUAGCGAAGUCUGGAAGAGAUAAAUGCUGAAUGCAUCUAAGCAUGAAGCUCGCCCUAAGAUAAGGUCUCCCAAUCCCGCUUCGGCGGGAUAAGAAGGGCGGUCGAAGACUACGACCUUGAUAGGCGGGGGGUGGAAGCGCAGCAAUGCGUUCGAGCUGACCCGUACUAAUCGCCCGUUCGGCUUGACCAUAAAACUUU
rnacentral:rRNA from 1 species